rnacentral:rRNA from 1 species
AUUGAACGCUGGCGGCAGGCCUAACACAUGCAAGUCGAGCGGAGCGGCGGACGGGUGAGUAAUGACUAGGAAUCUGCCCGGUAGUGGGGGAUAACGUACGGAAGGGGGCCCUAAUACCGCAUACUAUCAGAUGACCCUAGGGGGGAUUAGCUCGUUGGUGGGGUAAAGGCCUACCAAGGCGACGAUCCGGAGCGGGUCUGAGAGGAUGAUCAGUCACACUGGAACUGAGACACGGUCCAGACUCCUACGGGAGGCAGCAGUGGGGAAUAUUGGGCAAGGGGCGAAAGCCUGAUCCAGCCAUGCCGCGUGUGUGAAGAAGGUCUUCGGAUUGUAAAGCACUUUUAGUUGGGAAGCGUUACCAAAAGAGAAAGCAACGGCUAACUACGUGCCAGCAGCCGCGGUAAUUC